rnacentral:pre_miRNA from 2 species
GCACUGAGAUGGGAGUGGUGUAAGGCUCAGGUAUGCACAGCUCCCAUCUCAGAACAA